GUAGGGAAUCUUGCGCAAUGGGCGAAAGCCUGACGCAGCCAUGCCGCGUGAAUGAUGAAGGUCUUAGGAUUGUAAAAUUCUUUCACCGGGGACGAUAAUGACGGUACCCGGAGAAGAAGCCCCGGCUAACUUCGUGCCAGCAGCCGCGGUAAUACGAAGGGGGCUAGCGUUGCUCGGAAUUACUGGGCGUAAAGGGAGCGUAGGCGGAUAGUUUAGUCAGAGGUGAAAGCCCAGGGCUCAACCUUGGAAUUGCCUUUGAUACUGGCUAUCUUGAGUAUGGAAGAGGUAUGUGGAACUCCGAGUGUAGGGGUGAAAUUCGUAGAUAUUCGUAAGAACACCAGUGGCGAAGGCGACAUACUGGUCCAUUACUGACGCUGAGGCUCGAAAGCGUGGGGAGCAAACAGGAUUAGAAACCCUUGUAGUCC
rnacentral:rRNA from 1 species